rnacentral:rRNA from 1 species
CCUACGGGAGGCAGCAGUGGGGAAUCUUGUGCAAUGGACGAAAGUCUGACACAGCCACGCCGCGUGCGGGAAGAAGGCCUUCGGGUUGUAAACCGCUUUCAGCAGGAACGAAAAUGACGGUACCUGCAGAAGAAGAUGCGGCCAACUACGUGCCAGCAGCCGCGGUGAUACGUAGGCAUCAAGCGUUGUCCGGAUUUAUUGGGCGUAAAGAGCUCGUAGGCGGUUCAGCAAGUCGGGUGUGAAAACUCUGGGCUUAACCCAGAGCCUGCACUCGAAACUGCUGUGACUAGAGUUCUGUAGGGGAGCAGGGAAUUCCUAGUGUAGCGGUGAAAUGCGCAGAUAUUAGGAGGAACACCAAUGGCGAAGGCACUGCUCUGGGCCGAUACUGACGCUGAGGAGCGAGAGCGUGGGUAGCAAACAGGAUUAGAUACCCUGGUAGCCCACGCCGUAAACGAUGGGCACUAGGUGUGGGUCUCUAACCAACGAGAUCUGCGCCGUCGCUAACGCAUUAAGUGCCCCGCCUGGGGNGGUAACGGUCGCGAGACGUAAACGUUACGAAAGAAGUUAGAGGCGNGAGACGNGCCGACGGACGACGACGAGGGAGGAGG